rnacentral:misc_RNA from 1 species
GGUAGAUCCCCGUCCUCGUGCGGCCGACUACCGACGCCGUGUCCCAUCAUUCGUGUGGCUUAUGCUACUGUUGCCUUUCAAGUGCUUGCGUGCAUGUACCCGACCCACGGGAAGUGGUUCUUCGUACACGUUUGCCUCGCAGCGGACACCUUCGGGUGUACCGCUGUGGCCUAAUGGCGCUUGCGGCGUUGCCUCGUGGUGCUGGCAUGUUUCGUGCUCGGUGCUAUCAAGGAAGCCUCGCUCUCGCUGUUGGUUUCGGAUGCUGCUCACGAUAAAGGCUCAUGGCCCUUCUGGUGCCUAGAACCGACACAAAGAAGCUAUCUGGAUCAGAACGUGUCGUAGAACGGGGUGUUGCAUACGCAGCAUGCUGGGCCGAUGCUAGUAGGAGAAGGAAAGCUUAGCCCGCUCAAUUGCGACAACCGGCUCGGUCGUUGUCCGCCUGCAAGGGUGGAUUAAUACCGAUGCUGGACGUCAAAGAGGACGUGCUACCUGGUUGAUCCUGCCAGUAGUC